rnacentral:rRNA from 1 species
GUGCACCAGUCGAGAAACUUUACAAUGUGCGAAAGCACGAUAAGGGAACUCUGAGUGCCUCCUAAGGAGGCUGUUCAGGUGUCUAAAAGCACCUGAAGGAAGGGCUGGGUAAGACCGGUGCCAGCCGCCGCGGUAACACCGGCAGCCCAAGUGGUAGCCACGUUUAUUGGGUCUAAAGCGUCCGUAGCCGGCUGGGUAAGUUCCUUGGGAAAUUUGGCUGCUUAACAGUCAAGCUUUCAGGGAAUACUGCCCGGCUUGGGGACCGGGAGAGGUCAGAGGUACUCCAGGGGUAGGGGUGAAAUCCAUUAAUCCUUGGGGGACCACCGGUAGCGAAGGCGUCUGACCAGACCGGGUCCGACGGUGAGGGACGAAGGCUAGGGGCGCGAACCGGAUUAGAUACCCGCGUAGU